CCUACGGGUGGCUGCAGUAGGGAAUCUUCCACAAUGGACGCAAGUCUGAUGGAGCAACGCCGCGUGAGUGAAGAAGGUCUUCGGAUCGUAAAACUCUGUUGUUAGAGAAGAACACGAGUGAGAGUAACUGUUCAUUCGAUGACGGUAUCUAACCAGCAAGUCACGGCUAACUACGUGCCAGCAGCCGCGGUAAUACGUAGGUGGCAAGCGUUGUCCGGAUUUAUUGGGCGUAAAGGGAACGCAGGCGGUCUUUUAAGUCUGAUGUGAAAGCCUUCGGCUUAACCGGAGUAGUGCAUUGGAAACUGGAAGACUUGAGUGCAGAAGAGGAGAGUGGAACUCCAUGUGUAGCGGUGAAAUGCGUAGAUAUAUGGAAGAACACCAGUGGCGAAAGCGGCUCUCUGGUCUGUAACUGACGCUGAGGUUCGAAAGCGUGGGUAGCAAACAGGAUUAGAUACCCCGGUAGUC
rnacentral:rRNA from 1 species